rnacentral:lncRNA from 1 species
UUUUUUUUUUUUUUUAAUUUUUAGGGCCACACGGGGCAUAUGGAAGUUCCCAGACUAGGGGCCUAACCAGAGCUGCAGCUGUUGGCCUAUGCCACAGCCACAGCAACAGUGUAUUCGAGCCCCUUCUGUGACCUAUGCCUCAGCGUGCAGCAAUGCUGGAUCGUGAACCCACUGAGCGAUACCAGGGAUCGAAACCACAUCCUCAUGAAUACUAAUGUGGUUCUUAAUCCACUGAGCCACAUGGGAACUCCUGCCCUCUCCUUUUCAAUCUCCUAUUUCCAAUAAUAUAAUCGCUACUUACCAAGUUAAGUUAAACAAGUUCAAUUUUGAGGAAUAGCCUAAGCUUCUCACUUUCUCCAUUCUCACUUAUCCAGUCAGCCAAGAAAUUCUGCUUAUUCUAUCAUGUCACAUUUCAUGAAGUCUACUAUAUUGCCUAUCAAUUAUCACAGUGUUAGGUCUACAGUAGAUAUGUGAAGAUGAUUUUUAAAUGAAUUAAUGAAUUCCUCUUCCCUCUGCCCCUAUUUGAGUUUGUGUUCUUCAUUAAUCUUUUCUCAUAUAUUGUAAUGCAUUCUCAAUAAAUCACUCAGUAUUUGUCUUUCUCUUUCUGACUUACUUCAUUUAGUAUAAUAAUCUGUAAUUUCAUCCAUGUUGCUACCAGUGGCAUUAUUUCAUUCAUUUUAUGGCUAAGUAGUAUUCCAUUGUACAUAUGUACCACAUCUUUUUAAUCCAUUCAUUCGUUGAUGGACAUUUAGGUUGUUUCCAUGUCUUGGCUAUUGUGAAUAGUUCAGGGAACCAUCUAUAAUCUCUUGGGAUACACCAUGAUGGAAGAUAAUAUAAGAAAAAAAUGUGUGUGUGUGUGUGUGUGUAUGAUUAGGUCACUCUGCUGUACAGCAGAAAUCAUCACAAAGUAUAUCAACUAUACAUCAAUAAAAAGUUAAAAAACUUCAACAUUUACGAAAGUACAAAGUCUUAGAUGCACUCAACAUAUGUUGAUCUAGUGAAAUAAAUAUAUAUAAAAAUUUCAUAAUGCCCCAACAGAAAUAUAUCAAAAGUAAGAAAAUGAUAUAGAAUACAGCAAAGGGAUCUUUAGAAAUGCCACUUCGAAAAAGUGUGACCAAUUUUAAUAAAAACCAGUAGUUAGAAGAAUUCUGUUGAAAGCUAGAUAUCAAUCCAUUUGUGGUAUAGUUUACCAUGAAUACAUUCUUUCUCAUCUGAGAACUGCCAUUUAAAAUGUCUUUUCUUCAAGCUCUCCUCAGUAGUAAUGAGCUCAUAAAACAAAGAGCAAAAGCUGUUAAAGGCCAUACUCUUUAACAGGGGAAUAAGUUACUUCGUAAAGAUAUUAGGAAUUACCAAGGGAAUAAAGAAUAAAGGAGUAAAGAAUAUACUUGUCUUUUUAGGAAAACCAGUAGAUUUCAAAAUAUAACACAGAAAGCUAAUGACUUAGUAGUAUUAGUAGUUAAUGAAUUAAGUAAUUUUGAAUGUCUGCUUAUUAAUAUAUUCACCUAUGCAUUAUUUUCACAUAUUUUAAUAUCGUGUAAUAUAAUAUAAAUAAUGUUGAAUUAUUCAUUGUCCAAUAUAUAAUCCAAAAGUAUGAAAAAAUAAUGAAUACUAUUUUAAACUUACAUACAUAGAAAUAUAGCAUAUAAAAUGAAUAAGGUUUUUAUAAUGAGAUAGAAAAUUAUCUUCAUGCAAAAGGCUAUUUUCCUUCUUGAUGUAGAGGAAAUUUUAAGAAAAGUGAACUCAUGUGAUUCAUGUGUUCCUAUUAGGCCUGACUAGGUUCAGCAAUUUUCCUUAGAGAUCUAGCAUGAGAAAUUCAGAUACUGUCAAAAAAUGACAGUGGAUACUUAACUUGGAAGAAAAAAAUAAAUGUCCUAUUUCUAAUCAAGUCUUUAUUCACACUGAGAAUGUAUUACAUCAAAUAUUUUUCCUAAGAAAAGUCCUCUUUAAAAAACUUUUGGAGUUCUUGCAGUGGGCUCAGUGGAAACAAAUCCAACUAGUAUCCAUGAGGUUGCAGGUUCGUUCCCUGGCCUCACUCAGUGGGUUAAGGAUCCAGCGUUGCCAUGAGCUGUGGUGUAAGUCACAGACAUGGCUCGGAUCCUGUGUUGCUGUAGCUGUGGUGUAGGCUGGCAGCUACCACUCCAAUUUGACCCCUAGCCUGGGAUCUUCCAUAUGCCUCAGGUGUGGCCUUAAAAAGAAAAACAAAAAACAAACAAACAAAAAAAAACACUUUUAAACACUUAUUGUCUGCAUUUACUACUUAACUUUAAGAGAACAUUAGAUUUAAAUCAAGAUUAUUAAGAAAGAGGAAAUUGGGCAGAGUAAUAGAAGCAACGAAUAUUGCUUUACGCUGAAGUUUUAAUUUUUACUUAGAGAAUUUCCUGGAGUUCAGUUAGCCUGCAUGUUGUAAUUUGAGAAGCCCUCAAACAGUCUGCCCCCUGCCCAGAGAAGCAACAUAUCAUCUCUACUAAUCAGAGUCCUUGAAACUUCUGCAUCCUGUGGGUGUGGUGGGGUAAAGAACUGCAGCCAACUGGGACACAUGCCAUAUCUAGGAUAAAGCCUGGGGACAUGUGGCUAGGAGUCCCUAAAAGAUGCUCCUCAUCUCUGAUGAAGGGUAGUAUUGGUGUGAAACCUUGUUCUAUGCAAUGCAGAUAGCAUAAAUUUGAGAAAUCUUUAGCAAAUUAUAAACAGGCUAGUAUAUUCUUGUUCUAUUUUCUCCCAUAGUUAAAACUGGAUUAAACUUCAAAAAGAUACCUGGAAGUAGGAAUCCAAGGAUAUUUCUCAAGUCUCUUAUCCUAACCUGUGUCAACUGUGCUUUAGUUGCAGUGGCAACCAUGCUUUGUGUCUUGGCUCUAGGCUUACACUACUAUAAAUCAGUACUGUUACUUUAAAUCAGUGAACAACAACAAUGAAGCCCUCAAAAUACACACACAUGUAAUAUUUAAAUAAAAUUUCAAAAUGGCUCCGUUAUUCAAGCUGCUUUUCAUAUAGAUGAUAUUUUUGCAUAUUUUAACAUUUAUUAUUCUUGUAAGGAAAACUGUAACAUGUGAAAUAGAGUAUAGCAAGUAGCAAACAGCUUGCUCUCUGCCCAUAGAAGCAGCAAAUGUCAUCUUAAGUAAAUCACAGUAACUUCCUCAGAAGCAAUUCUAGCACCCUUUGUAUCCUAAAGGCUAAUCUUGUGUUUAAAGCAGUAGUAGUUUCUAAGUUAGUCUUUCAUUCUGCUUUGUCUUUUGCUCAGAGACACAAAGAGAAACAAGGCAUUGUAUCUAAGGUAAUACCCAAACAUUACUCAGGAAUCAUUUAAUCACAGUCUUCAAAACAUAAUAUAUCUCAUUUAAAAAUACAUUAUUUUUUAUUCAUGCUUAAAGGAUGUGGAAAUUAUUGCUAUGAUAACCUGUUCUGUGAGAUUCAAAUAGUUUAAAUUUCAAGAAAUCGUAAACCCACUUUUCAGACAAUAGGUAAUGAAAAUCUCAAGUUCUUUUUCCAUUCCUAUAAUACCGCAUUGAGAAUAAGAGGCAGUUUUUGGGUAAUACUAAAGCUUGCAGUUGUUGGUAAUGAAAAUAAUCAUAUAGACCAAGAUAAUAAUGACAGGCCGAGUUACCUUGAAACAAAAGCUACCUAUUUCCUAAAGAUGUAUCUCUCUGGGGAUGAAGGACCUUGGAAAAUUUUACUGCUGUACAGUAAAUCUAUUUAUCAAUGGUUCACUAGCCCUUGCAGAAUGAAAAAAAAAAAAAAAGAUAUCAUCUUUGUUUGUACAAGUCACCUGGGGGUAUUUUAAUAAUGAAAAUGCACCAGCAGUCUCGGAGUAUAGCCUUUGAGCCCAUCUGAGACAGGGCCUACGAAAAAGGGAAAAUAUGAAUAUUUCCUUGCUCUCUAUUUGUUAGGGAGUGUAUUGAAAAAAAUUACAUGGGAUAAAAUCAUUUAAAACAUAUAAAAUAACUGCAACAACAUCAUUUUUAUUUCUAUUGUGUUUGUAUAACUGGUAUAAAAUCAGAAAGAAAGUAUCAGAAUAAAUCGUUACUUCCUCAUCCCUUUCAAGAGAUGUGAAAAUGUAAAAUCAAGUCAUGCCCAUUUUUACUAUCUGUAUAUAUAGCCCUUUCCUUGACGAUUAGGAAGAUUGUGCUCCAAGGAAAGUAAGAAAGUAUCAUGCAGAGUUACUAGUUAUGUCACCUAUGUGCUUUUUCCAAUACCUUGGUUUAAAUCUCAAUCAGAGGAAAGUGUUAUUUGCUAUUUGUAACUCUACAUGGCAAAUAUUUUUCUUUCAAUUGUCAUGUUAAUAUUCCUCCUUUCAUAUUUUUAGUGCUGUUCCCAUUAAAACCAAUUUAUACAUUGGAGAAGUUAUUUUUUAUGUAGAUACUUUCUUAGCCAGAUUUAAAAAUUUAUCAUUAUAAGGGAAUAAAUAACAUGUCUAAGAAAAUAACCACAAUUUUUCAAUGAUGCUAAGCAGCACUUACAUUGUCUUGCAAAUUACAGAACAAUAAAUUGCUUGGACUUAUUUAGUAUAUAGCAGAAUGUAAGCUUAAAUGGGUAGAGAUUUCUAUUUUAUUCACUGAUAUAUUUGAGGCCCCUGAAAAAAUGACCUGCAGAGGGGGUUCUCAAUAAUAUUUGUUAAGUGAAUAUAUUUUUAUUUUGCUGCUCUUUUUUUUUUCCAAAGGAAAGAUACUGUCCUAAUGCUUUCAAUGGAAAUUCUUCCUCUCCUUCCCAUCUAUAUUCUCCUUCCAAAAGAAUAAAUUUAAAAAGAAAAUUAGUAGUAAAGUAGACUAAGGGAAAAAGCAGUGUAAAGUAAGAAAUCUGUUUGCUAUUAGCAUAACUGAAGGUAAAGCAUCCACUUAGGCAGUUUGACUUAAGGGGUGGUGAUUCUUGCUCAAAUUUAAUCAGGCUAUGUUAUUAUUUUAUAUUUAUUUAGUUACUCUACCUGAAAUGUUGUCUAAUAGAAAUUUAUUUGAAUUCAUGAAUGUUUGUUAUAAAUGCAAAUAGCUCAGUAGGUUAAGGAAUAAUUAAUAAAGUAGCUUAAUUAGAUCACUUAGCACCCAAAAUUAUUUGCAAUCACUUUAACAGAGUAGAUAAAAAGCUUUCUUCCAAGAAAAAUACAGAUGAUUUCGAGCAUCCUGGUUAGGAAGCCAGUCAGACAAGUACAAGACAAUCGGAGUAUAGAGUUGGAUUUUGAGAUUGUGGGAAAUGCUCCAGGAAAUAGAAAAGGGAUACAAAGGGAAUGACGGAAUCAUGCAUAUUCCAUUUCAAAAUUUCUCUAUACUAGCCUUGUACCCCAAAAUUGUUUUGGGUGGAGGAAUGGCAUUUUUUUUUCUGCUUUUUCUUCAGAGGAUAACUAGCUCUGUUUUCAGAGGAGCAUCAAGACUGGCAGGAAAAAAAAAAAAAGGAGUUCCCAUUGUGGCCCAGUGGUUAUCGAAUCCGACUAGGAACCACAAGGUUUCGGGUUCGAUCCCUGGCCUUGCUCAGUGGGUUAAGGAUCUGGCGUUGCCCUGAGCUGUGGUGUAGGUUGCAGACGUGGCUUGGAUCCCGCGUUGCUGUGUGUGGCUCUGGCAUAGGCCGGCGGCUACAGCUCCGAUUAGACCCCUAGCCUAGGAACUUCCAUAUGCCGCGGGAGUGGCCCUCAAAAGGCAAAAGACAAAACAAAACAAAACAAAAAAAAAGACUGGCAGAGCUUUCUCAGAAUCUUAUCUUAAAUGUGUAUGAUUUGAAGAGGUGCUGGAGGCCUAACCUUAUAUUUUAAAAAGUAUAUAUUUGCAUUGGAAAGACCAUUUAAUAAAUUUGUGGUAGAUCAUUUCACACACACACACACACACACACACACUAUAGAUCUCAGCAUAGAUGGUUAAAUAGUCUUUUUUCAUCUCUAGUUCUCUGUCCAGAAUAAGUUUCUAUGACAUCAUAUGGUUCUUACUGUUGCUAAAGAAAAAUGCUUUCUCACUUCCUCAGGAAAAAAACUUUAUUAUGUUGGGAACACCACAAUUUAAGAUGGCAGAUCCACUAGUGAAAGAGUAGCCAAAUGCAAGUAAUAUGAAGUAGUAAAACCAUUUUACAACAUAAACGUUAGAUGGGGCAUAUCUCAAAAAAAAAAAAAUCAAAGUACAGUAGAUAAUUUCACAUUUAAGACUGAAUAAAAGCGAUUUAGUGGCUGAGACACUUAGAGGUAAUAGAGAUUUAUAAAUAUAAAUCACAUGCAAUGAACAGAUGAGUAAAAGGAAAGGGCAGAGAGAGAUGAAAAUACUAUUCAAAAAAAGAGAAGCUUAAUCCAUUGUAAGACAAGAAUUGUGUGAUAAUGACUCUGCCUCCAGCUUUUUCCUGCAUAAAGAAUACUGAUAGAUAAAUAAUAUUUUAAAAGCAUAUUACUAAUAUGUGUUGAUGACAGAAUCGCUCUAAGGCACUGAAAAACCAAAACAUUGAGAAAACGGAACAACAAAACAGAGCGGUCUUUCAUAGUGUAAUAAGUUUUCACUUGCUUUCUUCAAACAAGUCACAUGCUGAAAUCGAAUAUUGCCUCAAACAUGAACCACACAAACCUAUUAAUAGCACAACCUGGAGUUCCAAAAUCUGAUUGGAAUCCAGGAGGACAUAGGUUCGAUCCCUGGCCUCGCUCACUGGGUUAAGGAUCAGGUAUUGCUGUGAGCUGUGGUGUAGGUCACAGAUGUGGCUUGUAUCUGGCAUUGCUGUGGCUGUGGCAUAGGCCAGGGGCUACAGCUGCGAUUCAACCCCUAGCCUGGGAACCUCCAUAUGCUGCAGGUGCGGCCCUAAAAAAAGACCAAAAAACCCAGUAAAC